rnacentral:lncRNA from 1 species
AUCAGGCUGUAGCUAGAGCUUAAACUCCCUAUAUGAUUGGUUGAAGUUUCAAUCCCUUAGCUUGCAGCUAUGACUCAUUUGGGCUUAGGGGAAAGUCCACUUUGAUUGGUUGAAGUUUCAAUCCCUUAGCUUGCAGCUAUGACCCAUUUCGGCUUAGGGGAAAGUCCCCUUAGGGAAGUCCCUAUUGACCCAGGAAGUCCAGCCAACUUAGCCACUUAGUCCCUCAGCCCUGGCUUGUGGAAGCAGAGAUUCCUAAUACGGCCCUCACUUCUCCACUUUCUCCACUGGGGUUGGAAGCAGUAGGAGUAGCUAUAGAGGAUGUAUUAACACCAAUUUACAGAGAUCCUAUUGAAUUUACAUCUCUCCAGCAGGUGUGAUGCAAGGAAAACAAAGCUAAUACCCAAAGUCUUUGAGCGUGGAAAGAGAGAAAGUCCACUUUAAGCGAUGGAAAAUCAGCCCCAAUUCUGAAGGAACAACCAUGAACAGAUGAUUUAAGGAGAAUCAAUUCUUUGCUCUUUGCAGAAGGAGCCAACAGAGUGAGAUGAAGGGGACAACUUCAGAUACUCAGGCAGAAGCAUAAGUCCCCACCUGCUGACCUGCUGCCUGCUAUCUUAACACGAAUUCUUCAUCUGAAUGGAUGAGCUUUUCACAGAGUUCCAAACUAAGGAAUCCAGGAGUGGCCAAUCCAGAGAUUCAUUCCUUAUCUUUGACGAACAUCUGAACUCCUGGCUCAUCCUGUGGAAUUCAGGCCAUACAGGAGAUCAAGGUCAUUUGCUUUGGGUUAAAUGAAUGUUGCCAGGUGGAGGUUGCUAGAGGGAGAGUGCUAUGUGAAAGUGCUGUAUAAACUGCUUGCUUUUCACAAACAGUAGUGAUUCUUUAUCCUGUCCAGCCUGCCACAACUGGACCAUCCUGUAUGUAAGUCCCCUUAAUAAAUCCUGUGUCUCAUUCA